UAACCUUGCAACUUGCAUUUCUUGGUGCCC
rnacentral:piRNA from 1 species